rnacentral:ncRNA from 1 species
GUUUUGUAUCACAGGCUAGGUUAGCACUUCCUUAAGAAAAAAAAAGGAUGAAAGUAGUUCUAGUGACCUAUAAACAUACACGGCUAAGGAAUUACCAACAACUCUGCAGCACCUAACUAUAAUUUUUU